GUCUAAGGUCAUGCUGCCUUGAACAAGCCUGAUCCCGUCUGAUCUCGGAAACUAAGCAGGGUCGGGCCUGGUUAGUACUUGGAUGGGAGGCCACCUAGGAAGACCAGGUGCUUGUAGGCG
rnacentral:rRNA from 1 species